rnacentral:rRNA from 1 species
AGAGUUUGAUCCUGGCUCAGAAUCAACGCUGGCGGCAUGCCUAACACAUGCAAGUCGAGCGAGAAAGUGUAGCAAUACAUGAGUACAGCGGCGCACGGGUGAGUAACACGUGGAUAACCUGCCUCAAAGUGGGGAAUAACACCGGGAAACCGGUGCUAAUACCGCAUAUUCUGUCGAGAUCUGUGGAUUUCGUCAGGAAAGGAGCAAUUCGCUAUGAGAGGGGUCCGCGGCUGAUUAGCUAGUUGGUGAGGUAAUGGCUCACCAAGGCUUUGAUCAGUAGCCGGUCUGAGAGGACGGUCGGCCACACUGGAACUGAGACACGGUCCAGACUCCUACGGGAGGCAGCAGUGGGGAAUUUUUCGCAAUGGGGGCAACCCUGACGAAGCAAUGCCGCGUGGAUGAUGAAGUAUCUCGGUACGUAAAAUCCUUUCGACGGGGACGAAGCCGCAAGGUUGACG